rnacentral:tRNA from 3 species
GCCGGGGUCUCCUAGCCUGGUAUGGAGCGGGCUCGCUAAGCCCGUGGUCCUUUGUGGCCGCACGGGUUCAAAUCCCGUCCCCGGCG